rnacentral:rRNA from 1 species
UACGUAGGGGGCUAGCGUUGUCCGGAAUCAUUGGGCGUAAAGAGCGUGUAGGCGGCCCGGUAAGUCCGCUGUGAAAGUCGGGGGCUCAACCCUCGAAUGCCGGUGGAUACUGUCGGGCUAGAGUGCGGAAGAGGCGAGUGGAAUUCCUGGUGUAGCGGUGAAAUGCGCAGAUAUCAGGAGGAACACCGAUUGCGAAGGCAGCUCGCUGGGACGUUACUGACGCUGAGGCGACGAAAGCGUGGGGAGCAAACAGG